UACAGGGGGUGCAAACGUUGCUCGGAAUCAUUGGGCGUAAAGCGCACGUAGGCGGUCUGUUAUGUCGGAUGUGAAAGCCCUCGGCUCAACUGAGGAAGUGCAUCCGAAACUGGCAGGCUAGAGUACUAAAGAGGGUCGCGGAAUUCCCGGUGUAGAGGUGAAAUUCGUAGAUAUCGGGGAGGAACACCGGUGGCGAAGGCGGCGACCUGGGUAGAUACUGACGCUGAGGUGCGAAAGCGUGGGGAGCAAACAGG
rnacentral:rRNA from 1 species